GGGUGUAGCAGAACCAGCAACGAACAAAUCUGGAGACUUCUGGACUCGAUCGAAGGCCCUUGAUGAAAUCAACCUGGUUGCUGUCUUCUUCGUCAGCCUUUCGUUCCAGAUGAAGAACGCCUCUAAGAUCACCUCUAAAAAAUCUAAGAUCUGGUACCCAAUCAGAUUAGGCCUGGACCGAGGUUUUUCAAUUUGUAGAUCUUGAAUCAGGAUAUUCUAGAUAGAAAAGAAGGUAGAUAGAACCAGACCUUGUAGAUCUAUCCUGCUGCAGCCUUUCCUAUAGAUCUGUUGAUGGAGAUCUCACCCGCACCUCAAACAACCUCAGAUCAACUCCAGAUCUGAUAGAAACUUGUACCAACCUCAUAGCAAGAGAUUCCAAAUCCUAGACAUGAUGUUUGGGUG
rnacentral:lncRNA from 1 species